rnacentral:rRNA from 1 species
GACGAACGCUGGCGGCGUGCUUAACACAUGCAAGUCGUACGGGAAGGCCCUUUCGGGGGUACACGAGUGGCGAACGGGGGAGUAACACGUGAGUAACCUGCCCACAACUUUGGGAUAACGCUAGGAAACUGGUGCUAAUACUGGAGAUGUGCUCCUGCUGGAUGGUGGGGGUUGGAAAGCUGCGUCGGUUGUGGGUGGACUCGCGGCCUAUCAGCUUGUUGGUGGGGUAGUGGCCUACCAAGGCGGCGACGGGUAGCCGGCCUGAGAGGGUGACCGGCAACAUUGGGACUGAGAUACGGCCCAGACUCCUACGGGAGGCAGCAGUGGGGAAUAGUGCACAAUGGGCGCAAGCCUGAUGCAGCACCGCCGCGUGCGGGAUGACGGCCUUCGGGUUGUAAACCGCUUUCAGCAGGGACGAAGCUUUUUGUGACGGUACCUGCAGAAGAAGCACCGGCUAACUACGUG